rnacentral:rRNA from 1 species
GAUGAACGCUGGCGGCGUGCCUAAUACAUGCAAGUCGAGCGAACAGACGAGGAGCUUGCUCCUCUGACGUUAGCGGCGGACGGGUGAGUAACACGUGGAUAACCUACCUAUAAGACUGGGAUAACUUCGGGAAGCCGGAGCUAAUACCGGAUAAUAUAUUGAACCGCAUGGUUCAAUAGUGAAAGACGGUUUUGCUGUCACUUAUAGAUGGAUCCGCGCCGCAUUAGCUAGUUGGUAAGGUAACGGCUUACCAAGGCAACGAUGCGUAGCCGACCUGAGAGGGUGCUCGGCCACACUGUAACUGAGACACGGUCCAGACUCCUACGGGAGGCAGCAGUAGGGAAUCUUCCGCAAUGGGCGAAAGCCUGACGGAGCAACGCCGCGUGAGUGAUGAAGGUCUUCGGAUCGUAAAACUCUGUUAUUAGGGAAGAACAAAUGUGUAAGUAACUAUGCACGUCUUGACGGUACCUAAUCAGAAAGCCACGGCUAACUACGUG